rnacentral:Y_RNA from 1 species
GGCUGGUCUGAAAGUAGUGAGUUGUCUCAAGUGAUUGUUCGCAGUCAGAACAGUAGAAUUCCUUGUUCUAUUCUUUCCUCCUUCUAAUUACUGCCCUCGACUAGUCCAAA